ACAAGACAUGAUAAUAUGACAUCAUAGAAUCUAAAAGAUUGCAUUAAGAUCAUAAAUUAAAACACCCAGACCAUGUGUUUUAAACAAAAUCUUCUGAAUACAGACUGAUUCUAUUUAUAUCCAAUAUUCUGGUAUUAAUGUAAACAGUAGCGCUUAGUGGGCUUAGUAUUAUCGUUUCAGUAAUCCUGAAUCUCGUGAAUUAGCAACAUGGCGCGUUUGAUACUGUGUCUGUGUCUGAUAGCUGUGAUAGUUUUGGUUAAUUUAUUUAGUGUUGAUGCAUCUCGACCCGGAACCAACUUUGGACUUUUUCUCAAUGCUAGAGAAAUGAAGCGCCUCUCUUUCACAACUGAACCCAAUGUCAACCAUGGAGAAAUUCCUAAUGGCAGCAAGAACACUUAGGAUAAAUUGGUACUAGUGGAAGAUCUAUACGCAUUAUUCAGUUAAACGUCUUCUUUUAUAAUAAAGUUUGUAAUUCGGA